rnacentral:misc_RNA from 1 species
GAUGAAGAACGUAGCGAAAUGCGAUAAGUAGUGUGAAUUGCAGAAUUCAGUGAAUCAUCGAAUCUUUGAACGCACAUUGCGCCCCUUGGUAUUCCAUGGGGCAUGCCUGUUCGAGCGUCAUUUCAACCCUCAGGUCCCCCUUUUCGGAGGGGGAGACACCCUGGUGUUGGGGGACGGCAUCCUGGCCCGCUGUCUCACAGUGUGCCACGCCGCCCCCGAAAUGAAUUGGCGGCCUCGUCGCGUGCCACCCCUGCGUAGUAGCACAACCUCGCAACGGGAGCCCGACGCGGCCACUGCCGUAAAACGCCCAACUUUUACCGAGUUGACCUCGAAUCAGGUAGGAAUACCCGCUGAACUUAAGCAUAUCAAUAAGCGGAGGA